CGGGUGCGUAACGCGUGAGCAACCUACCUCUAUCAGGGGGAUAGCCUCUCGAAAGAGAGAUUAACACCGCAUAACAUAUGUGACCGGCAUCGGUUGGAUAUUAAAUAUUUAUAGGAUAGAGAUGGGCUCGCGUGACAUUAGCUAGUUGGUAGGGUAACGGCUUACCAAGGCGACGAUGUCUAGGGGCUCUGAGAGGAGAAUCCCCCACACUGGUACUGAGACACGGACCAGACUCCUACGGGAGGCAGCAGUAAGGAAUAUUGGUCAAUGGGCGGAAGCCUGAACCAGCCAUGCCGCGUGCAGGAUGACUGCCCUAUGGGUUGUAAACUGCUUUUGUCCAGGAAUAAACCUAGAUACGUGUAUCUAGCUGAAUGUACUGGAAGAAUAAGGAUCGGCUAACUCCGUGCCAGCAGCCGCGGUAAUACGGAGGAUCCGAGCGUUAUCCGGAUUUAUUGGGUUUAAAGGGUGCGUAGGCGGCCUAUUAAGUCAGGGGUGAAAUACGGUGGCUCAACCAUCGCAGUGCCUUUGAUACUGAUGGGCUUGAAUCCAUUUGAAGUGGGCGGAAUAAGACAAGUAGCGGUGAAAUGCAUAGAUAUGUCUUAGAACUCCGAUUGCGAAGGCAGCUCACUAAGCUGGUAUUGACGCUGAUGCACGAAAGCGUGGGGAUCGAACAGGAUUAGAUACCCUGGUAGUCCACGCCCUAAACGAUGAUAACUCGAUGUUGGCGAUAGACAGCCAGCGUCCAAGCGAAAGCGUUAAGUUAUCCACCUGGGGAGUACGCCCGCAAGGGUGAAACUCAAAGGAAUUGACGGGGGCCCGCACAAGCGGAGGAGCAUGUGGUUUAAUUCGAUGAUACGCGAGGAACCUUACCCGGGCUUGAAAGUUAGUGAAGAGUGCAGAGACGCACUCGUCCUUCGGGACACGAAACUAGGUGCUGCAUGGCUGUCGUCAGCUCGUGCCGUGAGGUGUUGGGUUAAGUCCCGCAACGAGCGCAACCCCUAUGUUUAGUUGCCAGCAUGUAAUGGUGGGGACUCUAAACAGACUGCCUGUGCAAACAGAGAGGAAGGUGGGGACGACGUCAAGUCAUCAUGGCCCUUACGUCCGGGGCUACACACGUGCUACAAUGGAUGGUACAGCGGGCAGCUACAUAGCAAUAUGAUGCUAAUCUCUAAAAGCCAUUCACAGUUCGGAUUGGGGUCUGCAACUCGACCCCAUGAAGUUGGAUUCGCUAGUAAUCGCGUAUCAGCAAUGACGCGGUGAAUACGUUCCCGGGCCUUGUACACACCGCCCGUCAAGCCAUGAAAGUUGGGGGUACCUAAAGCAUGUACCGCAAGGAGCGUGUUACCGCAAGGAGCGUGUUAGGGUAAA
rnacentral:rRNA from 1 species